AGUGAACGCUGGCGGUAGGCCUAACACAUGCAAGUCGAACGGCAGCACAGUAAGAGCUUGCUCUUACGGGUGGCGAGUGGCGGACGGGUGAGGAAUACAUCGGAAUCUACUUUUUCGUGGGGGAUAACGUAGGGAAACUUACGCUAAUACCGCAUACGCCCUACGGGUGAAAGCAGGGGAUCUUCGGACCUUGCGCGAUUGAAUGAGCCGAUGUCGGAUUAGCUAGUUGGCGGGGUAAAGGCCCACCAAGGCGACGAUCCGUAGCUGGUCUGAGAGGAUGAUCAGCGACACUGGAACUGAGACACGGUCCAGACUCCUACGGGAGGCAGCAGUGGGGAAUAUUGGACAAUGGGCGCAAGCCUGAUCCAGCCAUACCGCGUGGGUGAAGAAGGCCUUCGGGUUGUAAAGCCCUUUUGUUGGGAAAGAAAAGCAGCAGGUUAAUACCCCGCUGUUCUGACGGUACCCAAAGAAUAAGCACCGGCUAACUUCGUG
rnacentral:rRNA from 1 species